UUACUUCAUGGUGGUGUUGCUGUUCCUGCUCCCUGUUGUUUCCCUCGCUGUAUUACUCGACUCCUGCUGUUGUUCCUGCUGCUGUAGGGGAUGUUGCUGGGCCUGAAGAUGUGUUGCUACAGCCGGAAGAUCGAUUUUUGUCUUCGACCAUUGACUGUGUUUUCGUCAUCUCUUCAUUGCCAGGUUUAUUUUUUUUAAUGUGCUGCGGUCCGUCACCCCCGUCGCUGUCACAACACUGGUCUGGACGGAGCAAACAGGAGAGUGUGGCGGCAACAACUUAUUCGUGUGUGAGAUGUCGCCACCAGUAUCUUGCAGUGUGUUGACGUGCUGAGUCCGGAAGCGUCAAUUUGGCUUCGUGAAGCUGUAUUCUUCU